rnacentral:rRNA from 1 species
CCCUUAGAUGUUCUGGGCCGCACGCACGCUACAAUGGUCUUCGCAAACGGAUGCAUUCUCGAAGGAGAAUGCCAAUCUUGGAAUCUAUGCCUUGGUCGGGACAGUUGCUUGCAAUUUUUCGACUCGAACCAGGAAUUCCUUGUAAUCGUGAUUCAUCACAUCACGAUGAAUACGUCCCUGCCCUUUGUACACACCGCCCGUCGCUCCUACCGAUCGAAGAGUUAGGUGAAUUGUUUUGAUCGAUAAGAUUUGACUAUGGUCAACUCUCGUUGUGAAAUUCUGUGAAUCUGACUGUUUAGAGGAAGGAAAAGUCGUAACA